rnacentral:rRNA from 1 species
UUAAGCCAUGCGAGUCGAACGAGUUUAGGCUCGUGGCGUACGGCUCAGUAACACGUGGAUAACCUACCCUUAGGACCAGGAUAACCUUGGGAAACUGAGGAUAAUACUGGAUAGACAAUUAUUUCUGCAAUGGUUUUUUGUUUAAAUGUUUUUUUCGCCUAAGGAUGGGUCUGCGGCCGAUUCGGUAGUUGGUUAGGUAAAGGCUUACCAAGCCGUUGAUCGGUACGGGUUGUGAGAGCAAGAGCCCGGAGAUGGAACCUGAGACAAGGUUCCAGGCCCUACGGGGUGCAGCAGGCGCGAAACCUCCGCAAUGUGAGAAAUCGCGACGGGGGGAUCCCAAGUGCCAUUCUUAACGGGAUGGCUUUCCAUUAGUGUAAAGAGCUUUUGGAAUAAGGGCUGGGCAAGACCGGUGCCAGCCGCCGCGGUAA